UACGUAGGGACCAAGCGUUGUUCGGAUUUACUGGGCGUAAAGGGCGCGUAGGCGGCGUGUUAAGUCAGCUGUGAAAUCUCCGAGCUUAACUCGGAACGGUCAGCUGAUACUGAUGUGCUAGAGUGCAGAAGGGGCAAUCGGAAUUCUUGGUGUAGCGGUGAAAUGCGUAGAUAUCUGGAGGAAUACCGGUGGCGAAGGCGGCAUCCUGGACCGGCAUUGACGCUGAGGAGCGAAAAGCUAGGGGAGCAAACGGG
rnacentral:rRNA from 1 species